rnacentral:misc_RNA from 1 species
GGGUUUUCGUGACUAAACAUAAAUAUCAGUUAUUUAAUUUCACCAAAAAUAUAUAAAGGUGUUUAUCUAUGGUACACAGAAUUUUUAUUCGAAAGCUUUGAUGUGGAGUUCCACCGUACUUGUUGCAUAGAGGAUUCUAUCUUCUAUACCAUUAUUACUUAAAUCGGUCUAUAGUAAUCAGAAAAAAGUUUUCAUCGUCGAUAAUGGUUACUGUUUCUUGUUUAUGGAUUGUGCUUGUUGUUUGGUUGAUAAGUCUGAACAUGAAUCUUCGAUGAAUUUUUCUUUGGAGCAGCAUUGAGAUGAACUGCAGUGCUCGCCAUGACAACGUAUCAAGCAAUCGGCUUUUUCCCUAUUUGGUCUCAACUGUUAAAUUAAGAAUUGAUAAAAUAAAGAAAAUAUGACUAAUCAUCUAAGAAGGAGGGAACAAAGGACCAAAAACUGAUGGUUAGGUUCAGACGUGCAAACAAUGAGCAAGGAAACAAAUUUUAAUUUGAAAGAGAAAAAACGAAGAUGUGGACUGUAUGAGGGAGAAAAAGAAGUUGUAGACUACUGAAGAAUAGAUGCAAGAAAAUGAAGGCAGAAAGAAGAGGAGGAGAAAGAAUAUGUAUUAGAGAAAUGCGGUUCAAAAAAAGGCUGGAUAAAGAAAAUAAGUAGGAAAAUAAAGAAAAGGGAAGGGGAGUAGGGAGAAUAGAAAAGUAUGGAGAGGAAGCAUACGAAAAGGAUAGAGAAUGAAUUAAAAUAACUGAUAGAGAAAGAACCAUGCAAAGAAAAGGAAUGCUGUAUAAUGCAUUACUAAAAAUAAUAGGAAUAAAUGGCGAACAAGACUAUAGAUAAUUUAGGUCUCAAGACAAACAAUUAUAUUUACUAUAUGUAGACGUAUAUAGGUUAUGUUAAAAGCAAAUAUAAGGAUGUAAAACCAAACCCCUUCAAGGCCCGAAAGAGCAAAUGAGCUAUCAAUAAAUGAUACUAUCUGUGGAUUAUAAUAUAAUAAUAAAAAUAAUCAUGAAAAUGAUAUGAAUUGUAUAACUUAUUGUAACUAUUACUUUUUAUAACGAUAAAUCACUAACAUUAAUUUAUUUCUAAUUAGUUUAUAAGGUUGUAAAUAAUUGCGUU